rnacentral:lncRNA from 7 species
GUGUUACACUGGCCCCCUAUGCAUUGCUGGUUUGUCUAUCAAGUAAGGAUUUUGUUGAGCAGACGCACAUAUAAAUUGUUAUGAGGUGCAGCUGUCCAUGUGCUGGUAGUGUAAACAGCUCUGCAGACAUCAAGGUCAAUGAAGAAGUAGGAAGAAUGGAGAUGAUCCUGGCACUGGAGCAGUUUCUUCUGCAGCAGGUGGAUGACACGACAUGGGAGAGGACACAACAUGGAGGACUGCAGCUCGUGGAGAAGAAUUACUUUGAAUCAAGGGAUGAAUGUGAGGAGAGAGGAGUGGUUUUUCCAGGAUUUCACAUUGUCAUCUCCUGGAUCUCAAUUUGUGAGAAGUUACACAUCUCUGCCGUAAGAAAUGUCUUCACAUACAGGUACAACAGGAGAAAAACAGUAGACCCUAACCAGACAAACAUCACUUAUUAGACUUUUCCAUUUUUUGUCAAAUGAAUGGUUGAGAACUAUAAUUUUUCUUCCUCUGAUCUAAAUAACAUUAGUAUCUUGAAUAAUCUGUGGCACAUCCUAAAUGUGUGGAACAGUGCAGUAGAUUUGUGUGUGUGUGUGUGUGUAUUAGAGGAGAAAUAAGAACUAGCUACUAUAAUUGUGAAUUGAGAGGAAACAUGAAUUUGUGAUGCAGUUCAUGAACAAUAGCUUCUUCCAAGCUAUCAUUCAAUAUUUGUUGUAUAUGAUUCAUUCUUGUAAUAGAAAGCUUAAUUUUCCCAAUGAAACCUGACAGUUUUCUUGGACUAGAUUCAAAGGUGAUAUAUCUGCUGAGAAUAUAGAUUGAUGUUUCUCUGGCAGUGUUACAUAUGACAUUUUCUGUUGAUCUGAGAAGAGAAGAUAGAAACAAGACCACAACUUUAUGAAAAGCCCAUAGAUUUUUUUGUAGAAAAUGAAAGAAAUUUCAGCCUGACCUUUGGUGGGAAAAGAGACACCACUUCAGAGCAUCUAGCCAAGUAAACAAACUGACACUUCUGCAAUAAUGUAUACACUUUGCAGUUUGAACAGUUGCUUGAUGUUUAAAUUGAUCAUAUGACAACAAAAUGUCAGGAUACUGUUCAUAGGCAUACAGAUGAUUCUGUACAAAAAAAUUAUUAGGAAUAUUUAAGAAUGCAAAGAAAUUCAGGAAGGGUAGAUGCCUAUUGUGCUUGCAUAUCAGAAAGCUGUUGAGCUGUUGCAUAUGUAGAUACCUGACGUGUAUAAAGCAAUAGGAUGUGAGUGGUUCAAAGAAAAAAAGCAAGUAGAAUCAUGUUAUCAUUAAAGAAAAGAAUUUUCAUUCUGCUGUUUAAUAAUUCUAAUUAUGUGCUUUAUUUCCCACUGAAAAUAAAAAGCAAGUACAGAAUGCAAUGCAAGAAAUAUAGGAUUCAGAUGAAGAAAAAAGUUCAGUAACAUUUUUGCAGGUACAUUUCUGUGCUCAGUUUUGUUUGCCAUCAAUCUACCAUUUCCAUUACUGCUUAUCUAACUAAACCUAUGUCAAAACAAAUUAUAGAUUCUGUUUGAACGAGGUCUUGUAAAUUCCUUUCCGCACAAACAGUAGAAACUAUUGAAAUCUAUAAUAUGUGUGUAUAGAAAUUAAUGACUAGAAACAGUAUUUA